UACGUAGGGUGCGAGCGUUAAUCGGAAUUACUGGGCGUAAAGCGUGCGCAGGCGGUGAUGUAAGACAGAUGUGAAAUCCCCGGGCUCAACCUGGGAACUGCAUUUGUGACUGCAUCGCUGGAGUGCGGCAGAGGGGAUGGAAUUCCGCGUGUAGCAGUGAAAUGCGUAGAUAUGCGGAGGAACACCGAUGGCGAAGGCAAUCCCCUGGGCCUGCACUGACGCUCAUGCACGAAAGCGUGGGGAGCAAACAAGG
rnacentral:rRNA from 1 species